rnacentral:rRNA from 1 species
CAGUCGACGAGGAGCUUUUGUCUUCGGAUGGAGGCUUCCUAGUGGCGAACGGGUGAGUAACGCGUUGGUGACCUGCCCCGAAGUGGGGGAUAACAGUUCGAAAGGACUGCUAAUACCGCAUACAAUCAGUUGGGUUAGAGACCUUCUGAUAAAAGGAGUAAUUCGCUUCGGGAGGGGCCUGCGUCCCAUCAGCUAGUUGGUAAGGUAAUGGCCUACCAAGGCGAUGACGGGUAGGGGACCUGAGAGGGUGGCCCCCCACAAUGGCACUGAAACACGGGCCAUACACCUACGGGUGGCAGCAGUAGGGAAUAUUGGACAAUGGGCGAAAGCCUGAUCCAGCAACGCCGCGUGUGCGAUGACGGCCUUCGGGUUGUAAAGCACUUUUAGAGGAGAUGAGAAAGGACAGUAUCCUCUGAAUAAGCCUCGGCGAACUACGUGCCAGCAGCCGCGGUAAAACGUAGGAGGCUAGCGUUAUCCGGAUUUAUUGGGCGUAAAGCGCGUGCAGGCGGUUUAUCAAGUUGGAUGUGAAAGCUCCUGGCUUAACUGGGAGAGGUCGUUCAAAACUGAUAGACUAGAGAAUGGUAGAGGGAGGUGGAAUUCCGGGUGUAGUGGUGAAAUGCGUAGAUAUCCGGAGGAACACCAGUGGCGAAAGCGGCCUCCUGGGCCAUUUCUG